ensembl:lncRNA
CUUUACUGAAAAAAAAUGCUUUAAAAACAAUCAUUUUUCUCACAGGUUAUUACCAACAUUGUGCAAUGCAACAACAUUUCUUUGCUAUUAGUUUAAAUACAAUAAGCAGUCACCUUAAAGUUCCAUCUAUAAUGUCUAUUCUAAGGAAGAACCCAAAAGCUCAGAAAGCUACCCAGAUAUAUUGUUAACUUCUACUAGUAUCAAAAUCACCAGAUAUACAUUUAUGUUAUUUGCUAUUAUACCUUUCAUAAUAAACACGUUUUUCUCUAUCAGGACACAUGGAUGAUAAGUCUGUGUUUGAACCUUAUUUAACGUCUAUCACUCUCUACAGCGUUAGUCUAAAAAAGCUAUUCCAAAAUGUAAUGCUCAGUCAGAGGAGCUAGAAGUUGAUGCAAAGUGAAACAGACAUUAACAUAAACACAUUAUUUUCCACCCGUCCUAAAAUACGAUCACAGCCCUACUGGAGGUGUCGGGGCAAUCAAAGCAGCAUCAAUCCAUCGCUCUCAUCAAACUCAAUCACGCUCCCAGCCGAGCCCUGGCAAUCUUCAUGGAAAGUGGCAAGAAGCAGCGGGGAGGGCACAACAAUGCUUAAUAAUAAUUCAGCUGUCUUCUGCUCUCAAUGGGACAUGCGGUUUCAUUUAGGAAACAACAGGACAGGGGAGGCAAAGAUCAGUCUCUUGAUUUGUGUAAUUAUGUUCUCAGGAAAUGGAAACGGCUGCUUCAGUGAACCAGGUCGAACCGAGUGUUCCCAUCAGCUACACCACAAUGGAUCUGUACAGGACCUUAUUUAAGAGUCUUGACAUCUGAGAUCGGAGUUUUCUUUUCGUGUCUAAGAUUUAUUUUUUCUCCAAAAGUUGCCAGCACCCAAAAAAGAUUGCCAAGGCUGCCUGACGCUUUGCUUGACUCCUUUAAACGAACAUGACUGAGGUCUAUUGCCUCGUCCAGUGUUCACAUGUAAAGCUGAGCUGUUGAAAAUAUGGUUCAAAUAAAUACACGGCUUUCGACUGCUCCAGGCAGGUGCUAGGUGGCGCUAACAUUCACAGGAAUGUGUAGUCUACCCUUUCAGCCUCUUUGGUUCCAUUGUAGGAUCCAACAACUAUGGACAUGAUGUUAACUCUGAGUGCACCCAGACAGAAACAAACAGCAGUUAGCCCAGUUGAUCUACGUCCUACAUGCUCAUCGAUCAAUAGAGGUUUAUUAUGUUAGCUUAUAUAGUUCAUUUUAUUGCUGAUGGCGAUGUUAAAGGAGAGAAGACUGCUGCUGGGUGAGGACAUCGACAGGUCAGAAAAAUGGCACUCGUCCUCUCUGAAUAUUAACAAUCAGCAUUUCUCUUCUCCAGACUUAACCAAUCAGCAAUGAGACCCUCACAGCAGUUCAGAAGUACCUAGCCCAGAGUGGGGCGUGUUCUUCUCCUAGAAGAGGUUCUGCAGGGGCGGUUCUUGCGGUCAGGACAAUCGCUAAAGUUUAGGCUGCACUAAAAGGGCCGAAUGCAAAUGCUGACUGUGUAGAGUGCAACAUGCAACCUGUAACUAAUGAUGCAUGGAUCAGUACAGCCUUAGACAUCUUAGAUCCUUCGCCUGCAGCCUGACUACAUCCAAUUAAGGAGACAGUUCACUUCAAUCACCACUGGAGCUCCUCAGAACUUAGCCACAACCAAAUCCACAUCUAACAAUUAUAUAAAUGUUAACAAUGUGGUAAUCGGUCAAAUCAAAAAGCUGCUCAGUGGUUCGGCCUUCACUCAAACGCACAGCAGCAGAAGAGUCUUGUAGGAUUAGUGGAGCUGAGCAGUGAGCUUCCUGCUGUCUUUGUUUCUGUCCAUCAGCCACAGCACUGCAAAUCAAUAGUCAUUAACACCCAGCACUGUUACAGACUAAUACACCUUAAACAAUGCUCCCUGUCUAGUACACACACAUAUACAAGUUGAAAUAUUCAUACACAGUAUAUUGCUACAGGAGUAAGAUUGUGGGAGAGUGGGUGAUGCUGUAACAUAUGGACGUGAAUGUACAACACUUUGAAGGUCAGAUCUACCUUGAAGAGGUCACUGCACACAAAAGAUAGCAACGAUCUCAUAGAAUAAACCCAAGCAGUCAGGAUAUAAUGCACAACCAAAGGGAAACAGAACCUUAAAAAGCCCUAUGCUUAAACAGACAUUACAUUAACUCUGACAUUAUGUUAUAGAAACAAUCUAAUGAGCAGGACUUUCCAUGUUUUACAAGAUUAAUAUCAAAUACUGUAAAAGCCAGAAUCUGAAUAAUGUCUCAAGUAAGAGCUGGAAGUGUCCAGCAUAGACGGUUAAAGGCUGCAUGAAAAACUGAGGAGAGGUGGAAUUACUUGUUCUAGAUCACAGAAUAAACUCAGCAUCAGAUACAUUUCCACAGCACUGACUCACAUCAUUACCACUCCUACUGCUUAGUCGUUUUUAUGAGUGAAUUUAAGUUGGAAUGAGUUUUACUCAACACACCCAACAAGAGGCUUUACACACUUUGAGCUUUGGAGAAUCUUUUUGUGACUUUACACAUUCAGAAAAAAAAAAAAAAACAGAACAAUGGAAACUACCAGUAAACAGUAAAUCAAAAUGGUGUGCAGUAUAAAGUACAUUAUGUCUUAUUUAUCAUAAUGACAGGAAAAAUUGCAGAAAGUUUUGAGUUUACAUGAACAGCAUAGCUAAAAAAAUACAAAGGUAACUGAGAAAACGGGGGGACUUCGGAUAAAAGAUCCCCUUACAAAUAAUUACCUGUUUCUCUCUGCUGUUCAGGUAAUUUAAGGACCCAGACAGUUUACAGUCUGGAUAAAUGGUUCAAACCCUUAGCAAUUAAAGUAGCAAUCAUUUUGAGAAAGCUAGCAUUUUUAAUCCAUACUACAGCAGGACCUUUGCUGUUCUGGUGGUUGUAGCAAAUUAUCAUAAUUACUGUGACAUUUUCUGUGUUGAGGCGCAGAGAUAAGUUAACAGCACUGUUAACACAGACAGAAAACAGAAAUCACAGUAACACAUAAAUAUGGAAGAAGACUGCAUCCACUAAAGAAACCGACUUUGAAGACUUUAUCUCCCCCUAACGAUGAUUUAUCAUCUCAUUAGAAUGAGAACAGAUCUCAAAAUCAGGAAAUCUGAAUGUCUGCGUUAUGAUAAUCAACUCUAGAGUAAGAAAAUAUCUUUAUCUUUGUUGUUCAUUUCAAACAAGCAUCCAUAAACCGGCUUAAAACUCCUAGAAGAAGACAGUGAAGAACUGGCCUGAGAAUCACCUUUUCUUUAGCAUCACAGUCAUUCAGGGAGAGUUCUCAGUAUAAUGGAAGAACUGCUAAAAACAACUUCCACAGGCGUAAUCUGUCAGACUGUGAACACAUAUAGGCUACAGGAACAAGGCAGUAACAUACACUAUGGUGCUUAAUUCAUGUCCAGACCUGUGUACAUAAAAACAUGCACAAGAGAGGAGUCCACAGAGCAGGUCUUCCUCACAAGGAAGCAUUUCUGCUCAGGUGUACAAAUGUCCUGUCUGAUGGGAUGUCAGUCAAGUCAAGUUGUCGAGUUGAUUUCUGAGACUUUGGAGGCAGAACGGUGGCUGAUAAUUGGUCUGUCUCUCUGACAGACGUGGAACAAGGACUCAGAUUUUACACUCUGAUAAAAGUAGUAAUAUCACAGUGUCUACACUGAUUUCAAUGCAUCCAUUUUCACUUAAUUAAAAGUGUAAGAGUAUCAAAAGCAAAAAUGCUCAUUGUGCAGAAUGGUCCUUUUCAGAAUAAUGUACACUACCGUUCAAAAGUUUAACGUCAUCCAGACGAUUUCAUGAUUUCCAUGAAAACUCCCGCUUUUAUCCACAUGCUAACAUAACUGCACAAGGGUUUUCUAAUCAUCAAUUAGCCUUUCAACACCAUUAGCUAACACAAUGUAGCAUUAGAACACAGGAGUGAUGGUUGCUGGAAAUGUUCCUCUGUACCCCUAUGGAGAUAUUCCAUUAAAAAUCAGCUGUUUCCAGCUACAAUAGUCAUUUACCACAUUAACAAUGUCUACACUGGAUUUAUCAUUCAUUUAAUGGUAUCUUAAUUGAAAAAAAAAGCUUUUCUUUCAAAAAUGAGGACAUUUCUAAGUGACCCCAGACUUUUGAACAGUAGUGUAUAUUAUAUUAAUUCAUGUGUUCAUUAUUUUAUUACAGCUAAUGAAGGUGAAGUUAAUUUUAAUAUCUGUUACUGGCUAGUUUGGGUAAUUUUAUAUACAUAUAGUAUUGUAUUGUUAGUGUAACUAGUAAAGUUAUCGAAUGAAUGUAGAGUAAAAGUACAAUAUUUGCCUCUGAACUGUAGAGCUCCUGCAGUAAUAAAGCAAGACUCAUAUUUAAUAACUCAAAUAAUACAUCAAAGGAUACGCCUGUGUUUUUUAUGUGCACAGGUUUGAAACUAAUUGAACACCACAAAAGUUUACAUCUGUUCACACAUGUGAAGACUUUUAACAUCUAAUGUAACAUUUUCCAAAGGACUUUGUUGAAAUUUAACAUUUCAACCCAGAGAGCUCAACCUUUUAUAGUAAAAAUGGCAUCUAAAUGUCGUACUUAUCAGAAAGGAAUUCAUAUUUAUGAGGUUUUUUCUUCCGUGAAUGCUGAGCACUUCUGUACAGAUACACGUUAAAAACAGGGAAAACACACAUCUGCCCAUUCUCAUAACUGGAACCAGAUAAUGCAAACAGUGUUAGUGCUGCUGAGUGAAAUCAGAUGUAACUCAUGUGUUCUCCAUCCACUUAAAGGGCUUCAAUCCAAAAACCAGUCCAGCCGUGUUGGAUCAAAACACACAAUCUCUCAUUUGACACGCUUCCUCUGAUUAUUGCCCU